AUGUGGGGGCCUUUUUGCUGGUCUUUUAAAAAGGUCAGCUCCCCUAAAAUGUAUUAGCGGAACAAUUUGUUGACCGUUCAUUGGUGUGAUAAUUAUCUACGCUAUUGACGUGAGGCAGUUCAGCUUCUAACAGUCCAUUGACUUGGACAAUUUUUCAUUAAUGUGACCUCAAAUCAGGUAGGACUACCCGCUGAACUUAA
rnacentral:misc_RNA from 1 species